rnacentral:rRNA from 1 species
GCGAAACUGCGAAUGGCUCAUUACACAAGUUAUCGUUUAUUUGAUAGUACCUUACUACUUGGAUAACCGUGGUAAUUCUAGAGCUAAUACAUGCUGAAAAUCCCGACUCCGGAAGGGAUGUAUUUAUUAGAUUCAAAGCCAAUGCCCCCCGGGCUCACUGGUGAUUCAUGAUAACUGCUCGAAUCGCACGGCCUUGCGCCGGCGAUGGUUCAUUCAAAUUUCUUCCCUAUCAACUUUCGAUGUUUGGGUAGUGGCCAAACAUGGUUGCAACGGGUAACGGAGGGUUAGGGCUCGACCCCGGAGAAGGAGCCUGAGAAACGGCUACUACAUCCAAGGAAGGCAGCAGGCGCGCAAAUUACCCAAUCCCGACACGGGGAGGUAGUGACAAUAAAUACUGAUACAGGGCUCUUUUGGGUCUUGUAAUUGGAAUGAGUACAAUUUAAAUCCCUUAACGAGGAACAAUUGGAGGGCAAGUCUGGUGCCAGCAGCCGCGGUAAUUCCAGCUCCAAUAGCGUAUAUUAAAGUUGUUGUGGUUAAAAAGCUCGUAGUUGAACCUUGGGCCUGGCUGGCCGGUCCGCCUCACCGCGUGCACUGGUCCGGCCGGGCCUUUCCCUCUGUGGAACCCCAUGCCCUUCGCUGGGCGUGGCGGGGAAACAGGACUUUUACUUUGAAAAAAUUAGAGUGCUCCAGGCAGGCCUAUGCUCGAAUACAUUAGCAUGGAAUAAUGAAAUACGACGCGCGGUUCUAUUUUGUUGGUUUCUACGACCGCCGUAAUGAUUAAUAGGGACAGUCGGGGGCAUCAGUAUUCAAUAGUCAGAGGUGAAAUUCUUGGAUCUAUUGAAGACUAACUACUGCGAAAGCAUUUGUCAUGGAUGUUUU